CUGCCCAGCGCAGUCCUUCGCUGCGCACUGACCCCUAGGAAGGCAGUGCAUGGUCAGGGCACUGAGGGACCCUCCACCGGGACGCUGGCCCCUCCCCGGGCCUCUGCUCACUUGCCCCCCACUCCCUAGUCCGUCCCCCUAGUAGGCCUGUCGGAUCGGGGACGUGGGGCGAGCUGAGAGCAGGCCCGGGGUGGGUGGUCACCGUGGUGAAGAUGUGGCUGUCAAGAUGAUAGAAGUACUGACAACUGACUCUCAGAAACUGCUACACCAGCUGAACACCCUGUUGGAACAGGAGUCUAGAUGUCAGCCAAAGGUCUGUGGCUUGAAACUAAUUGAGUCUGCCCAUGAUAAUGGCCUCAGAAUGACUGCAAGACUACAGGACUUUGAAGUAAAAGAUCUACUUAGUCUAAUUCAGUUCUUUGGCUUUGACACGGAGACAUUUUCCCUAGCUGUGAAUUUACUGGACAUAUUCUUGUCUAAAAUGAAGGCAGAGGCGAAGCACCUUGGGUGUGUUGGACUGAGCUGCUUUUAUUUGGCUGUGAAAGCGACUGAAGAGGAAAGGAAUGUCCCACUGGCGACUGAUUUGAUCCGAAUAAGUCAGUAUAGAUUCACAGUUUCAGACCUGAUGAGAAUGGAGAAGAUUGUGUUGGAGAAAGUGUGUUGGAAAGUCAAAGCUACUACUGCCUUUCAAUUUCUGCAGCUCUAUUAUUCACUCAUUCACGACACCUUGCCAUUUGAGAGGAGAAACGAUCUGAGUUUUGAAAGACUAGAAGCCCAACUUAAGGCCUGCCACUGCAGGAUUAUAUUUUCUAAGGCAAAGCCUUCUGUGCUGGCGCUAUCUAGCAUUGCGUUGGAGAUCCAAGCACUGAAGUACGUAGAGUUAACAGAAGGAGUAGAAUGUAUUCAGAAACAUUCCAAGAUAAGUGGCCGAGAUUUGACCUUCUGGCAAGAGCUUGUUUCCAAGUGUUUAACCGAAUAUUCAUCAAACAAGUGCUCCAAACCAAAUGGUCAGAAGUUGAAAUGGAUUGUGUCUGGACGCACUGCACGGCAACUGAAGCACAGUUAUUAUAGAAUAACUCACCUCCCAACGAUUCCUGAGACCAUUUGUUAGUUGAUAAAUCUGGAUGUUAUUCUCUGUAUACAGAAAAUUUUCCAGUAUGAUCAUUUUCUGCUACAAGUGAAGAAUUGAAAUACUAUCUUCAAUGUAAAGAAUAUGGGAUGAAAACAUAAAGGAAAAGUGAACUUGUUGACUGAUCUAGAUAGAGAAUACUGGAAGGCAUUCACAGUGUACAGUGCAUAGCAGUUUUAAGAGGAAAGGACAUACCAAACCCCUAGAUAUAUGCUAAUACUUUUCAUCAAAGGAUUAGCGUAGUAGCAAAGAUAAUACUUUAAACUCGAAUUUUAAAAGUAGUUACUGAAAUAGCACUUCUUUAAAUUACGUACCACCCCACUGUAGCUUAUUUAAAGUUGCAUAAGCCCAAGCAAAGCAACAAGAAUUGUGACCCAUAUAUGAACAAAUUUUAAUCUGCCCAUUGACUCUGAAAAUGAAGUACAAACCUGGGUGAUGGACUUACAAAGUAAUAUAGGGCAUGCCCACGUGAGGUUCCUGGAAACUGCCAGAGUGUCUUAAUUCUAUAGCUAGUAUUUUACCUCUAUAGCAUUUGGACUAAUACAAAG